rnacentral:rRNA from 1 species
GAUGAACGCUGGCGGCGUGCUUAACACAUGCAAGUCGAACGAUGAAGCCCAGCUUGCUGGGUGGAUUAGUGGCGAACGGGUGAGUAACACGUGAGUAACCUGCCCUUAACUCUGGGAUAAGCCUGGGAAACUGGGUCUAAUACCGGAUAGGAGCGUCCACCGCAGGGUGGGUGUUGGAAAGAUUUAUCGGUUUUGGAUGGACUCGCGGCCUAUCAGCUUGUUGGUGAGGUAAUGGCUCACCAAGGCGACGACGGGUAGCCGGCCUGAGAGGGUGACCGGCCACACUGGGACUGAGACACGGCCCAGACUCCUACGGGAGGCAGCAGUGGGGAAUAUUGCACAAUGGGCGCAAGCCUGAUGCAGCGACGCCGCGUGAGGGAUGACGGCCUUCGGGUUGUAAACCUCUUUCAGUAGGGAAGAAGCGAAAGUGACGGUACCUGCAGAAGAAGCACCGGCUAACUACGUG